AUUAGACUACAACUUGAGAAAAAUAAAGUAGACACUCGGAGGUAAAGAUAACUCGUGUAUUAACCAGAGCAAGAGAGUGAAACAUAUCAAUGCGCAUGGCUAAUUACCAAUCAGAAAUCAAUGCUAAGGGGGGGUGAUUCCACUUAAAGAAAUAGAUCCAUUCUAUAGACUACAGCCAGUGUAACAAGACUGUUUUUGUCAGGACUAUUAUGAGGUUUCAUAGGCAGUAUGUCCUCUUUUCUUCCAGCAGUGAAGUGGAUCACACAACAGCCACAGCUGGCACUCAGCAGUAUCGCUGCCACACUUCCAUUUGAUAUCCAAUAGCACAGUAUCACCUCCACCACCACGAGAACCACUGACCAUGACAAGUGACUUCUGCUCCAUCUCACCAUCAGCAGUGCAGCAUUGG